rnacentral:sRNA from 1 species
AUGCCUCCUAGGGCAUCGACUGGUGUUGUUCAGGGCAGACGUAUCAGUGCACAAACAGUCCGUAGAAGACUCCGGUCUUUUAAUCUUCGUCCUAGACGUGCUUAUAGGGGACCGACACUGACACAACGACACAGACAAGAGCGGUUAAGAUGGUGUCAAGCUCGUUUACGAUGGAGACUCAAUAAUGAAUGGAGCAAUAUUUUGUUUUCUGAUGAGUCCAGAUUCACUCUCCAGCAUUCAGAUGGUCGAGCAAGAGUUUAUAGACGAUCAGGUGAACGAUUUGCAGAUUGUUGCGUCCAACAGCAUGACAGAUUUGGUGGUGGUAGUGUCAUGGUUUGGGGUGGCAUAUCUACGCGUAACCGGACUAAUCUCGUGAUAGUCAAUGGAACACUAAAUGCCCAACGCUAUAGGGAUGAAAUUCUGUCAACGGAAGUGGUUAAUUCAUUAACAGAUAUGGACCUGGAAUAACAUUUCAGCAUGACAAUGCCCGUCCCCACACUGCUCGUGUUUCAAAUGCCUACUUGCAGCAACAAAACAUCGAUGUGUUGCCAUGGCCAUCGAAAUCUCCAGACAUGAAUCCCAUCGAGCACAUAUGGGAUGAACUGAACCGCAGAGUUCGCUCAAAGGCAACGCCAACCUGUUACACUGCAAGAAUUGUCCCAAGCAUUACAACAGGAGUGGAACAACAUGCCUCAGGCUAA